AGAGUUUGAUCCUGGCUCAGAACGAACGCUAGCGGCGCGUUUUAAGCAUGCAAGUCGAACGGUAGAGGGAGCUUGCUCCCUUGAGAGUGGCGAACGGGUGAGUAACACGUAGAUAAUCUGCCUCUGGAUGGGGGAUAGUCCAAAGAAAUUUGGUUUAAUACCGCAUGAGAUGGCGAGACAUAAGUCUUGUUUAUGAAAGGCGCAAUUGUGCCGUCUGGAGAUGAGUCUGCGGUUCAUUAGCUAGUUGGUAGGGUAAAGGCCUACCAAGGCGACGAUGAAUAGCCGGCCUGAGAGGGUGAUCGGCCACACUGGGACUGAGACACGGCCCAGACUCCUACGGGAGGCAGCAGCUAAGAAUCUUCCGCAAUGGGCGAAAGCCUGACGGAGCGACGCCGCGUGAAUGAUGAAGGCGGAAACGUUGUAAAGUUCUUUUCUUGGGGAAGAAUAAAGUGAGGAAUGGAAUGCCUUACUGAUGACAUUAACUGAGGAAUAAGCCCCGGCCAAUUACGUGCCAGCAGCCGCGGUAAUACGUAUGGGGCGAGCGUUGUUCGGAAUUAUUGGGCGUAAAGGGCGUGUAGGCGGUUUUAUAAGCCUGGUGUGAAAGACCACAGCUCAACUGUGGAUCCGCACUGGGAACUGUAAGACUAGAGUUCAGGAGGGGAAGAUAGAAUUCCUGGUGUAGGGGUGAAAUCUGUAGAUAUCAGGAAGAAUACCGAUGGCGAAGGCAAUCUUCUGGCCAUGGACUGACGCUGAGGCGCGAAAGCGUGGGGAGCGAACAGGAUUAGAUACCCUGGUAGUCCACGCUGUAAACGAUGUACACUUGGUGUAGGGGACCUAAGUUCUCUGUGCCGGAGCUAACGCGUUAAGUGUACCGCCUGGGGAGUAUGCUCGCAAGGGUGAAACUCAAAGGAAUUGACGGGGGCCCGCACAAGCGGUGGAGCAUGUGGUUUAAUUCGAUAUACGCGAGGAACCUUACCAGGGCUUGACAUACACUUGAAGACCUAAGAGAUUGGGUCGACCUUUAGGGGACAGGUGAACAGGUGCUGCAUGGCUGUCGUCAGCUCGUGUCGUGAGAUGUUGGGUUAAGUCCCGCAACGAGCGCAACCCUUACUGUCUGUUACCAACAGGUCUUCGGAUGCUGGGGACUCAGGCAGAACUGCCGGUGACAAACCGGAGGAAGGUGAGGACGACGUCAAGUCAUCAUGGCCCUUAUGUCCUGGGCUACACACGUGCUACAAUGGCCAACACAAAGCGUUGCGAAACGGCGACGUUUAGCUAAUCGCAAAAAGUUGGUCUCAGUUCGGAUUGGAGUCUGAAACUCGACUCCAUGAAGUUGGAAUCGCUAGUAAUCGCGCAUCAGAAUGGCGCGGUGAAUAUGUUCCCGGGCCUUGUACACACCGCCCGUCACACCACCCGAGUUGGGGGUACCCGAAGUCGGUAGUCUAACCGUAAGGAGGACGCUGCCGAAGGUAUGCCUAGUAAGGGGGGUGAAGUCGUAACAAGGUA
rnacentral:rRNA from 1 species